rnacentral:RNase_P_RNA from 1 species
UGAGUCGGCCGGACGGCCGCGGCGGGCCUCGCGCCCGUCGAGGAAAGUCCGGGCUCCUUAGAGCAGGGUGGUGGGCAACACCCACCCGGGGCGACCCGCGGGCCAGUGCCACAGAGAACAGACCGCCGCGUCUCGGCGCGGUAAGGGUGAAACGGCGGUGUAAGAGACCACCAGCGCCCAGGGUGACCUGGGCGGCUCGGCAAACCCCACCCGGAGCAAGGCCGAACAGGCGGCGUUUGAGGGCUGCUCGCCCGAGCCGCCGGGUAGGCCGCUUGAGGCCCGCGGCGACGCGGGUCCCAGAUGGAUGGCCGUCUUCAAUGACAGAACCCGGCUUACAGGCCGGCUCAUCCG